GGGGUGUUAGCUCAGUUGGUAGAGCGUGCGCUUAGCAUGUGCAAGGUCAGGAGUUCGACUCUUCUACGCUCCA
rfam:Bathycoccus prasinos genomic : Chromosome_8.